GGUUUGUGUGUGUGUGUGUACAUAUGUGUUUGUGUGUACACACACACACACACACACACACACACACACACACA